rnacentral:rRNA from 1 species
UACAGAGGUCUCAAGCGUUGUUCGGAUUCAUUGGGCGUAAAGGGUGCGUAGGCGGCGCGGUAAGUCGGGUGUGAAAUCCCCAAGCUCAACUUGGGAACUGCACUCGAAACUACCUUUCUUGAGUGCCGGAGAGGAAAGCGGAAUUCCUGGUGUAGAGGUGAAAUUCGUAGAUACCAGGAGGAACACCAGUGGCGAAGGCGGCUUUCUGGACGGUGACUGACGCUGAGACGCGAAAGCGUGGGGAGCAAACAGG